CUUAGUUACCUAGCUACAAUCUCCCUUCCAUCAGGGCUUGUACUGCAGACACUCGGAAUGCGAUGACCUGAAGGAAAUGUUAUUACUUCUUGCUGCUUCAGCCCAGAAAGCGUAUUGCUCUGGUGAAAAUAAGAGGGAAGUAUCUGCUCUUUCCCUAAAUCCUGCCAAUGUUGUCCUUAUUAAUGGCCUAGUUUGGUUGUCAGCUAGACAAGCAUUCUGCCAGCACUUCAUCUGAUUUCCAAACUCCAGCCUUGGUCCCCGCUGCACCCCAUCAGGCGGGGACAUGUCGGGUGUUAGAAGGCGUGCAAGACGUGCUAUCUUAAUCCACCUGCUACUCUUCAAACACACACCUCCUCUGAGUAAAACAGAGGUGUGGACUUGUUUGGGCUGAAGAAAAGCCAAUUGAGCAAUACCUCCAUAAAAAUUAUUGGCUGUUGCUGACUUUUUCCAUACUUAAAACAUCUUUUGGAAUAAGUUCUGUAAGACUGCAGCAUUCUCUAAACAAAUACUCAGAAAAAAUAAUUCAGACAGGAAUAAGCUCAAAGGAUAAUCCAAAAUUUAACAUCUGGCAACUACGCUGAACUUCUAGCUUACCUCUGAUUUUAUUAAUUGUGUAUACUCUUUCCUCUUCAUUCAAGAUAACCUGAUAAUAACAGAGGCCUGCGUAUACAAACAUUUUGGGCAUCUAAUCUUCCAAGUGAGGCAGCCAUCCCAGAAGCUCACAUAAUGUUGAUAAGAUGUAUUGCAUCCAUCAAAAACGUAUUUGGUUUUGUGUGUCUCCCCCAACCCUCCAAAACAGUUUAUCAGACCUCUGUCUCCAUAACCACUACCCGAGAACCUCCAAACCUCAGUGCAAGACAUCACCAACUAUAGUUAAGGCCACUGAAACUGACCAUUCUUUUACCAGGUUUUCUGAAGGCUAUUAUACAGAAUGGCUAGUGCUGAAAAUAGUCACAAACAAGAACAGACCUGUGUUUACAUACCCUCUCCCCCAACAUGGAGCACUACUUCAGAAUUGGUUGCAUUUAAGAUGACGUUUCAUACCUCUGGAAAAAAAAAAGGAAGUAAAUGAAGUUCCAUAACUGUUCUGUCCUACAAUAAAGCCAUGGAUGACGACUAGUGAAACUGGGUUAUUACUGCCAAAUCUACAAAGAGCAUGGGAAUAACAGCUGGAAUACGCUGUCCUCCCACUUUCAGUAUUUUAUUUUUCAUUAAGAGUAAUCAUGACUUUUAAGAGAGCAAUGCUUCCGAUUUGGAUUUCUUGUCCAAAUUUAAAAGAAGAAGCAAUUUAAAAGUGAAAGACUGAGAUAAAAUUACCCUGCCCCGAGACCUGCUAGUACACUGGAUAAAAUCUUUAUCCCAAACCAAAGUUGUAACUUACAAAUAGAAUAAAAAUUUUUAAUAGGAACUAUUCAGAGCUUCCUGCUAUGGUAUGAUAUGGUUAGCCCUUUUCUGUACAGAAGAAAGGGUGUUUCUUUCGGAUGGCUUAUGGAUAGUAGAUUUGAAUAACCUCUCCAGGGGAGAGUA
rnacentral:lncRNA from 1 species